GUGGGGAAUCUUAGACAAUGGGCGCAAGCCUGAUCUAGCCAUGCCGCGUGAGCGAUGAAGGCCUUAGGGUUGUAAAGCUCUUUCAGUGGGGAAGAUAAUGACUGUACCCACAGAAGAAGCCCCGGCUAACUCCGUGCCAGCAGCCGCGGUAAUACGGAGGGGGCUAGCGUUGUUCGGAAUUACUGGGCGUAAAGCGCACGUAGGCGGACUGGAAAGUCAGGGGUGAAAUCCCGGGGCUCAACCCCGGAACUGCCUUUGAAACUCCCAGUCUUGAGGUCGAGAGAGGUGAGUGGAAUUCCGAGUGUAGAGGUGAAAUUCGUAGAUAUUCGGAGGAACACCAGUGGCGAAGGCGGCUCACUGGCUCGAUACUGACGCUGGGGUGCGAAAGCGUGGGGAGCAAACAGGAUUAGAUACCCGGGUAGUCC
rnacentral:rRNA from 1 species